GUAUUACUAACUUACACACACUUAGGUCAGGAGGCUUGUAUCUCGGUGAGUUGGAGUUUUUUUUUUUUUGAAUUAUUUGAUUGAUGUUUUGAUUUUGUUUUUUCUGGUAACCUAUUUAUGUUGGUUAAUAGAUGUCAGACUAAUGAAAUUAGUAUUAAGAGAGAGGUUUGAAGCAAGGUGACUUGUUGAAACUUUUUUUAUUUAUUUUUGUUAAUGAUUAAGGGCUUAAGUGAUAUGUUUUCUUGGGUUGUGAACUUGUAGUUGUUCUCAGGGUUUACGGUUUGGUUCAUUUAAUCUGGUGGUUUCUAUUCUUUAGUAAGUGCAUGAUACCCUUAUUAUAUGUAAACUGAAUAUGGAUAAUUUUUCUAAGAGAUUAUCUAGAAAGAUUCUUACAUGGUAUGGUGACAUAGGUAUGUUAGUAUAGAGGGAGAUUUACUUUGCUGAAUUAGGUUUUUAAUUCUAUUUCAGUUUUAUAUCUCUCGUUUGUUUUGACGACGGCUAGGAUUUCGAAUAAAAUUGUGAGGAUUCGUAAGAGAUUCUUGUGGGGAGGGGGUGAAAGGUGAUUAUAAGAUAUCUUAGAUUUGUUGAUUAGUUCUUACUAAAUUUAAGUGGUGAUGUGGGUUGGGAGUCAGGAAUAUUCUCUUGGUAAAUUUGGCUUUGCUCCGUAAGUUAUGUUGGAUGCUUUCAUCUCAUACUAAUGGGUUAUAGAGAGAUAUUACUUGUGAUAGGUAUGAGUUCCACAACGGCCAUGACGCAAAGAGAGAAAUAGCUCUAACUUUUAGGAGUAAAUUUUUUAGUAGCACUCAAACUUGCCUUAAAUUUGUAGGACAAUCAAAACACCAUGGAUGGUUAUCAUUGGAUGUCUUUGUAAUUUUUCUACCAACAUUUAACACGUUUGAUGAUCUCAUUGGAUGUCUCAAGGUUAAUUAAUGACUAACCCCUUUGUUUUCUAUUUCUCAUGUGAAAUAUGGUUUUGUAUUUAGAGGGUGUUGUUUUUCAAUGGAGAGUAGUAAUAGAGAGUAUGGUUGUUUGUUUGUUUGUUAAACUCAUGCUGCUGAUAGAACGGUGCCAAAUGAUAUGGUAAUGAACAUUGAUGCAACUGAGUUCAUUGAUGAUAUUUCCAAGUUUUACAAACUCGGUGAAGUAAUGUUCUGUUCUAUGUAGCCAUAACAAGAAUGUAUUAAACUUUUUGGAUCACCUGUCCUUAGUCUAUCAGCAGAAAUACAUCGUUACAUCCUGUGGAAGUUGAUGGGACCCAAGCAUGCAUAAUUAAUCCUCUAAAAUCUUUUUUAGCUAUCGGACCACUCAGAUUUUCCGGCGAGUAUUCUUCUUCUUCUUCUUUUUUCGUCUGAUUUCUGUUACGGAUUCGUUGUUGUGUUGAUUUGUUGUUGCUCACUAAUGCUUAGAUUGUGGUUUGUGAAUUGCUGAAGGAUUGUUAUUGUUCGUUAUCAAAUUUUUGCGCUUUGCUCACCACUUGUUCGAUGAAAGGUCUCCGCCGAAAAAGACCUCCUAGCGCUUUUUUUGUCUUCCUAUUUGUAUCUUUGUGUUUUUAUCUUUCUGUUAUAGUUUUUUUUUCUUUUCUGACUUAUAAUUUAUUAUGUGCUGUUCUAACUUUCCUCUUUUGAAUGUAAAAGUAAAACCUCCAUAUGAAGCCAAUGCGGCAAAAAAGGAAAGUUUAAUAUAAAAACUUACAAAUGCUUAUAAUAACAAAGUAAUCAUAUCUCAUUCUUUUAAUUUUCCUGGUUGUUUUGUUCUUUGAUUGUAUUGUUUAUGCGCUUAACUUUCCUUAAUGUUGAUAGGCGGUAAGUUCAUUCGAGGAUGAGGAGGAGGAAUUAAACAACUUUCUAAAUCUUAAGAGAGUAUGUGGUACUACUCCUGAUAAUUAGUUAGCAAUGUCAACAUUGUCUGAGUUGAGGACCAAAAUAUCUGAGUUGAUAAACCAGUUUUUGCUUUGUAUCAUUAAAGUUUAAGUAAUACAUGUAUUAUCAUGUUGGUAGUUGAAUUAAUACUUGAAUUGUGUUGUUUUCUGAUGAAUUCAUAGCCAACAUCAAUAAUGAAUUCUGUUUGGAGUUAUCUACAAUAUCAACAUGUGUAUAGGUAAUAACAUUAGAAAAGUUAUAGUAGUUUACAAUAUCAUUAUCAUAGUUAUGCAUUUUUUCUCAUUUUCAGAGUGGACAAAAAUGUUGCAAUGCUUGUUGUUUCUCAAUGAUGGGCAAAGGUUGAACUGUGUGAUUUAUGUCAACAUGUGCAUGUGUUACGUUUGGAUUAUCUUUUCCGUGUCUGAAUUGGAUUGAUAGUUUUGGGAUUGUUCCUGUAGGUUAGACAGUAGAGGCAGCAGAAAGGAGAAGAAUGGAAAAUUAUUCAACAAGCCAUCUUUGAUGAGAUAUAGGUUUGAUUUAUCAUGAUUAGUAGAAUUUUGCCUUAAUUAUUUUGAUUUCUAGUCGGACCAUGCAUUUCUAACAGGACCAUGCAUUUCAAAAGCUGUUUUCAGAUGAGCUUUUCCAGUUUGGUUAGAGCAAUAAUUUGGGUAUGGAGUUAUGGAUUCUUGAGAAGGAGACAGGAGCCGGUCCAUCCACUUAAUGGUUCAGUUUUACUUAUUCCUUUCAUCUUACAACAUUCACUCAGGUUACUAAUACUCAAAUUCUUUGAUUCUGCUUUCAGUAUUGAUUGUUUCAUAUAGCUUUAUUUCCUGCUGCAAAAUUAGAAACAAUGUCUUUUAUUUCCUGCUAUAGCAACAUUGAGUUUUCACUUAUUAUCAUGACCCAUAUUGCAGUACAUCAUAAAUAAUGUCUUUUAGAUCCGGUACGAUGUAUUUUAGCUUCAUAAAAUAUAGGGUUAAAUAUAUACCAUCCCCCUGCAAUUAGAACGAGAUUCGGUUUUGCCCCCCUGAAGUUAUUUUUUUACGAAGACACCCUUAUAAAAGUUUUAAUCAACUUUUACCACACCCUUUUACUCCACAUGUUGAUUGGGCUUUGACCCAUUGGCUUAGGUGGCAAUAGCAUUUGAAAUUCUAAUUUCCCUUCAUACAUCUCCAUAUUUAGUCUUCUUCAUACACCUUCCUCGACUCUUCUCCGAUCAAAUCGCAGCGGCAACCAUUCCUUCCUCGACUCAAAACGGCGAACGCUGGUACUGGAUAUCCAUUAUGAAGCAUCCAUCUCCCAGGAAGUGUUUCAACAGUUACACCUGAAGUUGGUUUCUCUAAACCUUCAAGAAUAUUAAUGAAACGAAGUAUUCUUCCACUUUUUUCACAGGACCAUGAUAUGCUGUAAGACCACCUUUGGCUAGAAAUACUAUAUCAUCAAACAUUCUGAACAAAGUAUAGCUGCAACAUAAUAAAAUCAAACUAUAAUACAUAAACAUAUAUAUCUUGGAAUGUUGGUGAAAACAUAGGAAAAUGACUCACCUUUGGUUGCUUAUUUGAUAUCUGUGACACCUUUUUUUGAAACUGAUGGUACAUAAUCAGUACUAGAAAUAAAACUUGAAAAUGACUCACUUCUGCUAUAACUACAUGAAGGAGCCUGAGAUUGUUGCUCAAACAUUUCUGUCUCACCUUCACCGCUUAAUCUGGAGAAGUCAUCACCCUUUUGCUUUUCAAAUGCAUUUCCGGUUUGAAGAGAUGAUUUUGAAUUGGAAUUGCAACUAUGCGAAGACCGAAACUACAGAGCCGAUUUAAAUGUUGAUGCAAUAAAUAAUCUUUGGGGGGUGAACUUUGGGUAGAAUUACUCUGCUUUGAAUGAUGGGGAACUUCGACGUUAUUUUCUUCACACCAACUUGCUAUCAUAGCUUUAACUGUAUAAUUGGGAAUUAGAAUUGCAUGGUUAAGUGUCUGAUGAGUCUUGGGACAAACAUUCAGCCCGCUAUCAAGCCAAGUUUGGAUGGACUGUCUCUGAUACGUUUGACCUGAAGCAACAAUAACAGGAUCCAACAUGAGUUCCAGCGAUAAAGGGUAUCAGAAGUACGUUGGGACUGACACAUCACUUUUGACUUCAGGGCAUUUAGUUUUCAUUGCAUAAUCACGUAAACAACAAACAAGAUUCACAAUUUGGUUAAUUUUAUCCAACUCCCCUUUUGUUUAGGAUCAACCCAAAUUCUAAAACAGGAAACAAGUAGUUUCAAAUUUUGGACAUACCUGAAGAUUAUUCAAAACUGAGGUAGAUGAAGUUAACUUAUGGAAUCUAUCAAUUAUGUGACAAAUCCUAUGUGACAAACAGCUGGUGAUUGGUUGCAAGGUCCACAUGUCUACUAUCUUUAUAGUACUUAUGGAUAUGGAAAGGGGGAUAUUGGACAACUCUUCAUUGCUGGCUUUGGGUCUUCAAUGUUGUUUGGAACAAUUGUGGGAUCUCUGGCUGACAAACAGGGUCGGAAGAGAGCUUGUGUGACUUAUUGCAUAACCUACAUUGCGAGCUGCAUCACCAAACAUUCUCCUCAGUACAGAGUUUUGAUGUUGGGACGUAUUUUGGGAGGCAUUGCUACUUCACUUCUAUUCUCAUCAUUUGAGUCGUGGCUUGUUGCUGAGCAUUUCAAGGUGAGGAAUAAUUGUUUGUUUCUAAAGUUGUCAGCUGUUAAUCGUCAAAAUUAACCAUGAUAUUUUCCUCUGGUUAUGUUGACUUUAUAAUAUUCUUCUAUGUACAUGGAGGCUGUAAAUGUCUUGAAUGAUAUAGCUAUUAUAAGUGCCACACGGAGAAGAGUAGGUUGUAUAGCCACCUAAGCCAAUGGGUCAAAGCCCAGUAAGCAUGUGGAGUAAAAGAGUGUGGUAAAAGUUGAUUAAAACUUUUACAAGGGUGUCUUCGUAAAAAAAUAACUUCAGGGGGGCAAAAUCGAAUCUCGCUCUAAUGGCAGAGGGGUGUCGAAUAUUUAACCCUAAAAUAUAUUGAGGAUUUUUCCCCCUCAAUUGUUUCAUUCAAACUGCUCCCAUCAGAAAUGCUAUUAGUGCCUACAAGAUAUAGAAAGUAUAAAUAGCAUAUACUUUUGAGUUAAUAUGAUUUACUCUUGCAGUAGACACACCAUUUAAUAGGAAAAGAACUUUAGAACUCAUGUUAUUUAUUUACUCUGAUAGUAGUGUAAUUGUAAGUGAUGAUAAAACUAUGCUACUGUUUUUUCAAUCUUUAAGAACAUAGUCUCUUUCCAAUCUUUAACAACUUGGUCUUUUGACAAUUUUUGAGAGGGCUUUAAUCCUUCCUAUAUACAUAUUCUGGUGUUAGCCUUAAAUCAUUUUUUUUCUGAAUGAAUCCAUUUGAAUCACUUAGGUGUGGCUGGGAUGAUACAUUCAUUAAAAUUGAGUACUUUUUAUCAAAAGUGUUAUCUAAAGCCAUAUAUACUUUUUCCUGUUAUUAGACCAAUAGCUCACCUACUGGUUUGACAAUUAUAUUAUCAAAAGUCCUUUCACUUUAUUUAAAAUUUUAAAUAUUUAUUUUUUUCAUGUCAAAUUAGACUUUUAUCUUUAAAAAUUUGUAUCCUUUAAAAAUUUUAAAUUUGUAUCUUUAAAAAUUAUAUAUUAUUGAAAAAUAAUGGAACAUUAAUAUAUAGAACUCCGUUGCAAAUAUAUACAACUAAGCAUGCAUGGUUUGGUGGUAAGUUUGCAGCACUAUUGCCUUUAUGACAUGGAUUCAAAUCCUAGGUUUUGCAACUUAUUAAUUUGCAAUUUUUCCAAGCUUUCCAAAGACAAUCACGUCAUACGCCCAGUCAGCCAAACAUGGAAUAUGGCGCCCAGUCAGUAAGAUUCUGCACGCCCAAUCAGCCAAACAUGGAAUAGGGGGUGUCUGAAAACAGAAUCUUUUUUUCUAAGGGGCGAAGACUAAAUUUUUUUUAAUAGGGGGAAAAUCAAAACACGCUACUAUUGCAGGGGGUGAAAGCUAUUUAACCCUAAAAUCAAUUCAAGGUCUUUGCGAAAAUCCUUGAGCAACAAUUUGAGCUUUGUAUCUCACAAUUUCAUUAUUUUCAUUUCGCUUUCGCACGAAAACCCCAUUUGUAUCCAACUGGCUUAACACCUUGAGGUGUUCGGACUACAGGUCCAAAAACUUGUCUUUUGUAGAGUGAGUUUAAUUCUGCUUCAAUUGCAUCUUUCCAUUUUGGCCAAUCCUCGCCGAAAUUCUGAUAUCAAAUAUGUGAUAUCGAAGGAAAUGUCACGACACAAAUAUCUGAGAACUAACCAAUAUGGAACAAGGUGAGAAAAAGUAAGGCAAAAUAAAAGAGACACAAGCAAGUGUUAACCCAGUUCGGUGUACAACAACACCUACUCUGGAGGCUACCAAGCCAGGGAUAAGUCCACUAAAUAGAAUCAAUUCAUACACCUUCAGCAAAUAAACAGUUUACGAUCUACUCACUUAAUCACUACCCUUGCUAUACUUCUACCUAAGACUCACCUAGGUAUGAGGCCCUCCUUAAAUCCCAUUAAUUACAUACAGUGAAAUACGAUAGAAUUAAUCAAUGGUAGAAGACAAUCUUCAAAGACACACAAUCAUCCUUUGCUUAAAAGCAUAUGGAUGAUUAACAAAUUACGACUCAACUAAAAACACUCCAACUCUAAUAUCAAAGCAAUACAAGAGUGGAUCACAAGUAACAAAUAACAAGAGAUUCAAAUCAUAAAUCUCAAACACGAUAAACACAUAUUCCUCAAAUUAGUUAGGUGGCACAAGUAGGGUUGGCCAGUCUUUAUAAAGCAGCAGUGCAUGUCAUGGGCUUGGGCCAAAUUCAAAUAAUGUUUUAAAGCUUCCCAUAAUUAUCUUCGUGAAAGCAAGGCAUGAUUAGUCCAAAAUUAUUGGAACAGCUCGUGAAAAACUCCUUUUGAGUUUAAGCAAAAGCAACAAACAAACAAACAAACAAACAAACAAACAAACACCGGCUAUAUAAACACAUCCUUAAAACGCAAACUAACACACAGUUUAGUUUAGCAAACAAUGUUAAGACAUCCACUUUGACAUCAUUUAAAAUCGGAUAGGAUGUUUUGCUCAUAUGUCAAAGCACUAUUCAUAACAUUUUCUGAGCAGAAUGUUUUACCAAAAUUGUUGCCAACACAGAACUAAGAAACUCCCCCUUUGGAAAAUUUUGGCUACAAUAUUAUAUGGUCACACCACAGUAUCAUAGAACUAAACAUCUUCUAGGAUAUUAUUUGCUCCCCCUCAAACUCACCAUAAGUAGCAUAAAUUUACUA